UACGUAGGGGGCGAGCGUUGUCCGGAGUUACUGGGCGUAAAGAGUGUGUAGGCGGUGCUCUAAGUUUGGUGUGAAAUCUCCCGGCUCAACUGGGAGGGUGCGCCGAAAACUGGAAUGCUUGAGCGUGGGAGAGGAAAGCGGAAUUCCUGGUGUAGCGGUGAAAUGCGUAGAUAUCAGGAGGAACACCUGCGGUGUAGACGGCUUUCUGGACCAUUGUUGACGCUGAGACACGAAAGCGUGGGUAGCAAACAGG
rnacentral:rRNA from 1 species